CCUACGGGAGGCAGCAGUGAGGAAUAUUGGUCAAUGGACGAGAGUCUGAACCAGCCAAGUAGCGUGAAGGAUGACUGCCCCAUGGGUUGUAAACUUCUUUUAUAAAGGAAUAAAACGAGGCACGUGUGCCUUUUUGCAUGUACUUUAUGAAUAAGGAUCGGCUAACUCCGUGCCAGCAGCCGCGGUAAUACGGAGGAUCCGAGCGUUAUCCGGAUUUAUUGGGUUUAAAGGGAGCGUAGAUGGGUUGUUAAGUCAGUUGUGAAAGUUUGCGGCUCAACCGUAAAAUUGCAAUUGAUACUGGCAGUCUUGAGUACAGUUGAGGUAGGCGGAAUUCGUGGUGUAGCGGUGAAAUGCUUAGAUAUCGCGAAGAACUCCGAUUGCGAAGGCAGCAUACUAACCUGCCACUGACAUUGAUGCUCGAAAGUGUGGGUAUCAAACAGGAUUAGAUACCCUUGUAGUC
rnacentral:rRNA from 1 species